AUUGAACGCUGGCGGAAUGCUUUACACAUGCAAGUCGAACGGCAGCACGGACUUCGGUCUGGUGGCGAGUGGCGAACGGGUGAGUAAUGUAUCGGAACGUGCCCAGUCGUGGGGGAUAACGUAGUGAAAAUUACGCUAAUACCGCAUACGAUCUAUGGAUGAAAGCGGGGGAUCGUAAGACCUCGCGCGAUUGGAGCGGCCGAUAUCAGAUUAAGUAGUUGGUGGGGUAAAGGCCCACCAAGCCAACGAUCUGUAGCUGGUCUGAGAGGACGACCAGCCACACUGGAACUGAGACACGGUCCAGACUCCUACGGGAGGCAGCAGUGGGGAAUUUUGGACAAUGGGCGAAAGCCUGAUCCAGCCAUUCCGCGUGCAGGAUGAAGGCCCUCGGGUUGUAAACUGCUUUUGUACAGAACGAAAAGGUUUCUACUAAUACUAGGAGCUCAUGACGGUACUGUAAGAAUAAGCACCGGCUAACUACGUGCCAGCAGCCGCCGUAA
rnacentral:rRNA from 1 species